rnacentral:lncRNA from 1 species
GUCAAUUUGCACCUGGCUAGUUUCAGCAUCAUCAACAUCAUUCCCUGCUGUGGGAAAAGCUCUCUGUUCCUCAUCUUCUACAACAGGGACAUUCUGAACCUGAUUUUGAACCUGAAUCCCAUAAUCCCCAUCAGAGUCAAUCUGAGGUUCCAGUUGAGUCUCAACAGCACUCCAUUCUAGAUAUAACUAGACCAUGGACCACUAGAAACACCCAAUGUUUCCAUUUUAGUGGAAGAAUCAGAAACUGGAAAACAUCCAAUAAAUUCCAUAGAAGAGAUGGAAGACAUGUUUUGGGAUAUCGGGCAUAAGAAUUCUGUGUGCUGCUGGAGAAUGGAGAGAUCGGAAAGUGAGUUCAGACUAGGGGAUGAGUUCAAAUGUUUUGAGAACUGCUCCUCUAAUUAUAGUGUUGAUGGGAAUUUAGUGGUAUAAUCAAGAAAUCCAGCCAAAUGUUCUAACCUUUCUUUCUCUUUCUCUCUCUCUCUCUCUUAAUUAUCAUGCCACUUUUCUGUUAGUGGUCUGAUUCUUGUAGGAGCAAAAACCUACUCUGUCAUUACAAAACAUUAUUGUAGGAGUUGCACACCAAACCAAGAAGAAGAUACAACAAGCCUGUAAUUAUCUAUGCUCUCUUUCCAGCUAGGCUCUCUGGGCCUAUGUCCUCCCCAUUCCCAGCAUGGCUCCAUUAAAUGAAGUCAUAAUCAUACAUCACACACUGUUUUUUUAAGAUGGUUCCUUAGGCUGGGCACAAAAUUUGGAAGCUGGAAAACUGCUGUCAAGUUAAACAUGUAUCUGUGAUGGCAGAGCUGGAAAACAAUACUUUUUUGAACUACAAUCCUCAUAAUGUUUCAGCUGGCAUAAUCACUGUGUUGUAUGAUUUCAACUAACUGCUAAACUGGGAGUUUAGCAGCCAACUGCUAAACUGUGGCUGGAUUGCUUGAUUAUACCACUAAAUUCCCAUCAAAACUAUAAUUAGAGGAGCAGUUCUCAAAACAUUUGAACUCAUCCCCUAGUCUGAACUCACUUUCCGAUCUCUCCAUUCUCCAGUAGCAUUUCACUACUCCAAAAACCAGAUCAAGACACGAACUGAAUUUGAAAGUUUUAUUUUAACACAGGUUUUAUUCUUUCUGGCCAGAAAGGUUGUCAAUAUAAAGUCUGUGCUCUAAAAAGAACUGAUCACCUUAAUUAACUGCAACAUUCACACUGGCUUUCCAACUGACAAAGAGUUCUUCUCACAACCUGGACUUUCCACAGAUAUAUAUAAACCUUCCUUGCUUAGUUUCUCUAUACCUCACAACC